rnacentral:lncRNA from 1 species
UUGAAAGAGAGUUAAGUUGAGAAGGGUAGGAGCAGUCAGUGAAGUGGAUAGCGAGGGAGAAGGAGAGAAAAAGGUAGGGAGGCUUGGCACCACAGCUCAGGACAACAUCUGUGACUGGCUUUGUUCUCCACAGCUAGGCAAGGUUGAAAUCUGUGAGAACUGGUAUUGCAAUGACUAUCAAGGAAGAAAGAAAAUAAUCCAUGACGCUGGGCAUUCAGGUUUCCAUGGCAUUUCUAUGGUUUGGGUAGGGUCCCAUUGAUCUCUUCAGGGCAUCCAUGUUGACGGCCUCUUCUGUGACGUGUGGUCAGGAAAUUGACAUGCUGCAACCUGCCUCUGGC